rnacentral:tRNA from 1 species
AUAUUUUAAGGCUAUUGCCUUCUUAAUAUCUUCAAUAUUAUACUUUUUUUAUAAGCUAUUAAAAUA